AGGGUGCCCAGAGAAGCUGUGGCUGCCCCAUCCCUGGCAGUGUUCAAGGGCAGGUUGGACGCAGGGGCUUGGAGCAACCUGCUCUAGUGGAAGGUGUCCCUGCCCGUGGCAGGGGUUGGAACUGGAUGAGCUUUAAGGUCCCUUCCAACACAAACCAUUCUAGGAUUAAAAGAUGCAGCUGUGGUGUUUUCACCCGAACAGCAACAGAUCCUGCUGGCUGGCAAGUCAGGUGAUUUGUAUCCCUUUAAUCAAGGGCCUCAAUGCUUAAUUACAUCUUACUUAAACAACUAUAAUGUUAAUUUAUCUUAAUUAUACUUUAGCAGCUCUUGCCCAACAUACACACUAUUAUUUAAACCCCCCAUCCCAUAGCGGGGCUGCACGGGGUCCCUCAGUUGCCUCCCUUUGCUGCACUGAUGGGUCUUAAAGCAGAGCUGAGCUUCAGGAGUUAAUCCACACUUCGUGUUUGUAUUCAAACAUCAGCUCCUGUUGUUUGUGAACUAAAUCUACAUGGCAGGUGUUAAUUGAGUGCUAAUUUACUCGAAUUCCGCGUCGUGAGAGUGAUUAAGGGAGGAAGUGAGGCGCUGGCGGUUGGAGAGGUAAUUUGCUUUUUAAGCAAUAACGAUUAAAAACCCCUUUAGUUUGCACAGCGUAUUAAAAGAAGGUGACUGUAGGGAGCUGUGAGCAUGUUGAAGGUCAGGCUCUGUGCUCACACAGGCUCCCUGCACCUCAUACUCUUCAAUGAGAGUGCGGUCUGCUUGUUUGAGAAGUAAAGCUGCCUACAAGGCAUCGCUUUAUGCGCUUAAAGACUGGACACGACUAGGAUGGCUUGCGUGGAAGAGAAGGAACAGGAAAACACGAGAUCCAGAAGGCAGGAAUAGCAUUGAAAGAACUAGAAGCUGAACCGAUAGAGGCAGAGGAAUAAACCUCCCAGCCUAUGCUAAGGUGUGUUUUGGGUGGUUAUCCCACAGCGUGUCCUGACUGGUGGUCUGAUGCUUCUGCCUUAUAAACCUGUUGUCACCAAAGCUGGAGGAUCCAGAGAUGAAUCAAAGCUCCUGAGCCUGCUUAUCCUCUCUUCCCACUGCUCGUGAGGCCGCCGUGCUGCCCGUGCUCUUGUGCAAUGAGAGGGCUGCAGUGACAAUGGAGGAAGCAUCGACACUGGAGUGUUUAAGCUCUCACAAACACCUCGUAUGACAGUGGAUGUGCCAUACCCCAUGCCCAAGGAGGACAAAAGGUGAGCUGUUGGCUUGCCUGGGCUCGCCAGUACCCAGCAGACGGCAGAUGGCACCAGCGCCCUGUGUCUGCUCGGGCGAGCCACCGCUCGCUUCAG